GAACCCAGGCAGUAGCGUCGUUUCACUAUGUUUCCAUCACCUGGUCUCAGAUUUCCAGCAAAAAUGUGAUUUUCCCAUUUAUUGGAAUGCUGUGCAGGUUGUACCUUGCAGCCAUCCAUUACAAUGUCACCAAGCCAUAACAAAAGCAGGAGAGGGAAAGUACAAGUUAUGUGGAUGAUGUGAUCAGACUUGUGUUGGAUGAGGUAUUUGAAGAUAAGCUGAAGGAAAUCCCGAUUCCAAUGGACCUGGCAUCACAGUUUGAGAGACCUUCAAAGGAGGACGUGAUUGCAUGCCAUCUCACGCGCUUCAGUGCAGAGGUCGUCAGAAGCCAACAUACUGACCAGUUUGAUCAGGAAGCUCCAAGCAAAUCUAGAGAACAACACACGACAGGAUGAUAACCCUGUGUCGCCUCAGAUAGCACCAGCUGACAAAGCUUCAAUAUGCCAUUUAUCUUUAUAGAUAUCUGUAAGAAGUGAAUUGAAAUUUUUUUGAGA